UACAGAGGUCCCGAGCGUUGUCCGGAAUUACUGGGCGUAAAAGCGCACGUAGGCGGAUUUGUAAGUCAGGGGUGAAAUCCCGGGGCUCAACCUCGGAACUGCCUUUGAUACUGCAAAUCUCGAGUCCGAUAGAGGUGGGUGGAAUUCCUAGUGUAGAGGUGAAAAUUCGUAGAUAUUCGCAAGAACACCAGUGGCGAAGGCGGCUCACUGGCCCGAUACUGACGCUGAGGCA
rnacentral:rRNA from 1 species